GGGGCAAAAAACAAAAAACACGAAACACUAAUGUAAGCCCAAAGGGAUGUCUUUCUACGGUCUGCUGGUCAUUUCAGAACUUUACAAAUGUAAUGGUCAGUUCAUUAGAAAGGAAAAGAU
rnacentral:snoRNA from 1 species